rnacentral:rRNA from 1 species
AGAGACAGCAGCCGCCGCGGGAAUACAGAGGGUGCGAGCGUUAAUCGGAUUUACUGGGCGUAAAGCGUGCGUAGGCGGCUUCUUAAGUCGGAUGUGAAAUCCCUGAGCUUAACUUAGGAAUUGCAUUCGAUACUGGGAAGCUAGAGUAUGGGAGAGGAUGGUAGAAUUCCAGGUGUAGCGGUGAAAUGCGUAGAGAUCUGGAGGAAUACCGAUGGCGAAGGCAGCCAUCUGGCCUAAUACUGACGCUGAGGUACGAAAGCAUGGGGAGCAAACAGGAUUAGAUCCCCCGUAGUCCCUGUCUCUUAUACA